rnacentral:rRNA from 1 species
UACAGAGACUGCGAGCGUUAUUCGGAUUCACUGGGCGUAAAGGGUGCGCAGGCGGCCGUGUGUGUGAGGCGUGAAAGCCCGGGGCUUAACCCCGGAAUUGCACCUCAAACUACAUGGCUAGAGCAUUGGAGAGGGUAGCAGAAUUCACGGUGUAGCAGUGAAAUGCGUAGAUAUCGUGAGGAAUACCAGAGGCGAAGGCGGCUACCUGGACAAUUGCUGACGCUCAGGCACGAAAGCGUGGGGAGCAAAAGGG